rnacentral:rRNA from 1 species
GACGAACGCUGGCUGCGUGCUUAACACAUGCAAGUCGAACGGAAAGGCCCUGCUUUUGUGGGGUGCUCGAGUGGCGAACGGGUGAGUAACACGUGAGUAACCUGCCCUUGACUUUGGGAUAACUUCAGGAAACUGGGGCUAAUACCGGAUAGGAGCUCCUGCUGCAUGGUGGGGGUUGGAAAGUUUCGGCGGUUGGGGAUGGACUCGCGGCUUAUCAGCUUGUUGGUGGGGUAGUGGCUUACCAAGGCUUUGACGGGUAGCCGGCCUGAGAGGGUGACCGGCCACAUUGGGACUGAGAUACGGCCCAGACUCCUACGGGAGGCAGCAGUGGGGAAUAUUGCACAAUGGGCGGAAGCCUGAUGCAGCAACGCCGCGUGCGGGAUGACGGCCUUCGGGUUGUAAACCGCUUUCGCCUGUGACGAAGCGUGAGUGACGGUAAUGGGUAAAGAAGCACCGGCUAACUACGUGCCAGCAGCCGCGGUGAUACGUAGGGUGCGAGCGUUGUCCGGAUUUAUUGGGCGUAAAGGGCUCGUAGGUGUUGAUCGCGUCGGAAGUGUAAUCUUGGGGCUUAACCCUGAGCGUGCUUUCGAUACGGGUUGACUUGAGGAAGGUAGGGGAGAAUGGAAUUCCUGGUGGAGCGGUGGAAUGCGCAGAUAUCAGGAGGAACACCAGUGGCGAAGGCGGUUCUCUGGGCCUUUCCUGACGCUGAGGAGCGAAAGCGUGGGGAGCGAACAGGCUUAGAUACCCUGGUAGUCCACGCUGUAAACGGUGGGUACUAGGUGUAGGGUCCAUUCCACGGGUUCCGUGCCGUAGCUAACGCUUUAAGUACCCCGCCUGGGGAGUACGGCCGCAAGGCUAAAACUCAAAGGAAUUGACGGGGCCCCGCACAAGCGGCGGAGCAUGCGGAUUAAUUCGAUGCAACGCGUAGAACCUUACCUGGGUUUGACAUGGAUCGGGAGUGCUCAGAGAUGGGUGUGCCUCUUUUGGGGUCGGUUCACAGGUGGUGCAUGGCUGUCGUCAGCUCGUGUCGUGAGAUGUUGGGUUAAGUCCCGCAACGAGCGCAACCCUUGUUCACUGUUGCCAGCACGUUAUGGUGGGGACUCAGUGGAGACCGCCGGGGUCAACUCGGAGGAAGGUGGGGAUGACGUCAAGUCAUCAUGCCCCUUAUGUCCAGGGCUUCACGCAUGCUACAAUGGCUGGUACAGAGAGUGGCGAGCCUGUGAGGGUGAGCGAAUCUCGGAAAGCCGGUCUCAGUUCGGAUUGGGGCCUGCAACUCGACCUCAUGAAGUCGGAGUCGCUAGUAAUCGCAGAUCAGCAACGCUGUGGUGAAUACGUUCCCGGG